rnacentral:rRNA from 1 species
GGAAAAGUAAUCAAAAUUGAGAUUCCCUCAGUAGUGGCGAGCGAAAGGGGAAGAGUCUAAACCGUUAUAAUGCCAAGUUGCAAGAUUUUGUUAUAGCGGCGUUGUAGGGCGACAUGUGAAAUACUUGCAUAUUUCGACUUUAAUCUGUAUGAUAGUAGAAUCGUUUUGGAAAAGCGAACCAUAGUGGGUGAUAGUCCCUUAUACGAAAUCAUAUAGUUGAGGUUAUGUCGUUCCUGAGUAGGGCGGGGCACGUGAAACCCUGUUUGAAUCUGGGUAG